rnacentral:rRNA from 1 species
UACGAAGGGGGCUAGCGUUGUUCGGAUUUACUGGGCGUAAAGCGCACGUAGGCGGAUCGAUCAGUCAGGGGUGAAAUCCCAGAGCUCAACUCUGGAACUGCCUUUUUGAUACUGUCGAUCUGGAGUAUGGAAGAGGUGAGUGGAAUUCCGAGUGUAGAGGUGAAAUUCGUAGAUAUUCGGAGGAACACCAGUGGCGAAGGCGGCUCACUGGUCCAUUACUGACGCUGAGGUGCGAAAGCGUGGGGAGCAAACAGG